UGGAUAGAUAGAGAGAUAGAGAGAUAGAGAGAUAGAGAGAUAGAGAGAUAGAAUCAAGCAACAGAAUAUCAAAGUCACUUUUUCAGUUAGUGGAAACUCUUUCCUCUGUUUUUCCUACUCUCUCACUUUAGACUUGCAGCUCCAUACAUUCUUCCCUUUAUCUUUUAUGCUCAUGAUGUGUGUCUGUGAAUGACUAGACACUGGCUAGUGUAUUUUCCUGAAGAGGAGAUGGCAAUCCUGACUGUGCUAAGUAAUCUACACCUUAUGUUUCUUUCAGUAGACCUCCAGGUCAUUAUGACGUGUGCAGCAAUACUUGAAUAGCUCUCUAGACCAGACCACUUUAUAGCCUCUGGUGGAUCUUCAUUGUUACCAAACUUCAAAGAAGGACGAUGACUAAUGGAACUCAGAGGCCAGGCCACCACACUGCCUGCAGUUCCUGGACCUUGAAGGGUCAAGAAGCUGAAUUUUGAGACACUGAGUGAAUUGCCCAAGUCAUAGACCUGAGAACCGACCUUCUCAUCCUGAUCAAUAAUCUGAGAGACUGACCUUGUGACCCAUAGUUGACAGAUAUCAUUAAAAUAGGUUUUAUGAAGGUAAGCCGUGGAUUUGUUCUUGAGUAAUGAGAAUAAGUAGUGUCUGAAGACUAUUUUCCACUUUGGAAAUGUCAUUAGUGAAGUCUUUCAUUGCCUAUUAAUGUAAAUGUUGAUUAAAUGUACUCUUCUUCAAUUCAUAUGUUUCAAUGACCC